UCAAGCAGCUGGAAAUGCCAGCAGGGUCUUCUCUUUACUCUAUCCGGCCUCUCGCCGUGGGGCUGAGGAGAGGAACUUCGGUAACCACGGUAACUUGACACCAGAUGUGACCUCCAGGGCACAGCCUUUUGAUCCUCUGUCCUUCCUCUGGCUGUGGAUGGACACCAGCUCUGCACGACUGCUGCUGUCAGGGGAAGUCGAGAUCUGCAACAGCUUCUGAGGACAAACUUUGAGGCUGGUCCAUUGAGGAUAAGAAAAAAAGCCAGAACUUAUGACACAGAGAGCAGACUUUAGAUCCAAAGUUUUCAGCCUGGACUGAUGUCCAUGACCUCUUUUUUAAGAUAAGAUGUUCAUGAAGGAGAAACCUUUAGUGACGAUCAGAGCUGUUUACUGUACACAGAGCUGCAAGUGAAGAAAAAUGAAAUUUUUAUUUUCAGAUGCUGAUACCCAGGGUAAUACCUCUUACUUACAAAAACAACUUACAAGGUGCUGGAAAAAUCUCCUCAUCAUUCCCUCUGCCUGGGUGCACCACAUUCAUUGUAAUAGUAUUGAAAAAGAUAACCACAAAGCAUUAUCCUGUCUCUAACAACAACAAAUGUAAGUGCUGAGGAAGGCAGUCAGUACCAAUCACUUUAGAACAUUAAUGCAAUGAACUGCACAGAAAGAAGGCUGCUUCUUCAUUCAUUUGCUGAAGCCCUGAAGCAAAAGGGUAUAUUUUCUUCCAGAACUACAGGGCUGAAACAAAGUACUUUUCAGAGACGGAACAGCUGAGCCAGAAGAAUGAGAACAUUUUAUGGCAUCUUCAGCUCCCACAGCCAAGCUGCCCCACCUGAGGCCUUUCACGUCAUACUUCUUCCCCUGAAACUGAAGUUCUCCCAGUCAAUGUCAUGGAAACAGAGACAGGAGAACAAGUUCCCCCACUGGAUGCAACUUGCAUCCUUCCCUUUGCCAUGAAGAGGGGCCAGGGAGUGCCUGAUGAUCCCAACACGUGGAAACAUGGCUUUUGAUGAAAUUAUCUGCUAUUAAUUGAGAGGGAGACUCUCCAUCCUGACCAGGCAGUGCAAGGACUGUACUACUAAUUUCAAUCCUUUAAUGUUAAUGAAAGGGAACUGUUGCUGUCUAAACUAAUAAGGGAUUUUUUCACUGUGCCAUUUAUAUAGUAGAAGGAAUUGUAAAGUAGCUUCAUGAUAGAUAACUGUGCUUCUGGAGUUUCCUUAGUUUGUCAUUUCAUACAAAAGGAUCUCAGCCACCAUAAAAUUAAAUUUCUCCACAUUGCAAUUGUUCAGCAAUGGGAAAACAGAAUUUUCUGCUAAUUGAAUGCAGUGAGCUACUUAUAUAUUCAUAGUGAGCUGAUGCUUUCAGCACCAUUGCACUCUGACUCUGCAGGAGUGGUCCCAGCAGCAGCAUUGAGCCAGCAGAGCUGGUGUGGAGCUGGCACAGCCACUGAGUCACCCACAGAGCUGUUAGCAUGGGCUGGGAGCCCAAGGUGCCACCUUGGUCUUGGUAGGGGCAUGGGUUUCCUUUCCUUCCUUGAGAAGCCCCCAACCUGUUCUCUCAGGAAUGUUUUCUGGAGACUGCUGUCCUUGCUUUGCAGAAACAGCCUAAAACACCCCCUGAUUCUUACAACUCACCACUAGCUGAAGGUUACAUUUCGCUAGAUCAUUAUCCUCCUGAACUUCAGAGCACAGCUAUUCAGAAAUCUCUAACAUACAGGUUUCUAAACACAAUUCCUCAUUGCCUGGCACUAAAUAAAAAGAACAAUUCAAGGUGGGACACACUUCAUGACUGCCUGUGCUUUGCCUUCCUUGGGCAAUGGGGAUGCUCUCUGGAUUGAUGUGAGCAUUCCACAGAGCACCAUGAUCCUCUCCCAACAGUCAAGGCAAAAUACCCCCUUAAAUGCCAAAUCUCAGUCUCUCUCUCUCUACAUAAUUGAUUUGAUUUCUCCAGUGUUUGACAGACUCUGAUGUUAAUUCCAGACACCCUUUCAUUAAAAUCCUGUCCCUCUCCUUGAGUUCUGUAACCUGUUUGUCCAACAUUUUAGCCCUGUAUUCCCCGGAGUUGUUGAUAUAAUGUGGUGUCUGCAGUCAGACUCCAGCGAAGAA